UACCAGCACCCCCGAGUGGUCGGGACGAUUAUUGGGCCUAAAGCAUCCGUAGCCGGUUCUACAAGUCUUCCGUUAAAUCCACCUGCUUAACAGAUGGGCUGCGGAGGAUACUAUAGAGCUAGGAGGCGGGAGAGGCAAGCGGUACUUAGUGGGUAGGGGUAAAAUCCGUUGAUCCAUUGAAGACCACCAGUGGCGAAGGCGGCUUGCCAGAACGCA
rnacentral:rRNA from 1 species